rnacentral:rRNA from 1 species
GUCGAGGGGCAGCACGGUAUAGCAAUAUAUGGGUGGCGACCGGCAAACGGGUGCGGAACACGUACGAAACUUUCCCUUAUCUGGGAGAUAGCCCGGAGAAAUCCGGAUUAAUAUUCCAUAAUAUAAUUGAGUGGCAUCAUUUGAUUAUUAAAGCUCAGGCGGAUAAGGAUGGUCGUGCGUAUGAUUAGGUAGUUGGCGGGGUAACGGCCCACCAAGCCCACGAUCAUUAGCUGAUGUGAGAGCAUGAUCAGCCACACGGGCACUGAGACACGGGCCCGACUCCUACGGGAGGCAGCAGUAAGGAAUAUUGGUCAAUGGACGCAAGUCUGAACCAGCCAUGCCGCGUGAAGGAUGAAGGUCCUCUGGAUUGUAAACUUCUUUUAUAGGGGGCGAAACAACUGAUAUCUAUCGGUCUUGACAGUACCCUAUGAAUAAGCACCGGCUAACUCCGUGCCAGCAGCCGCGGUAAUACGGAGGGUGCAAGCGUUAUCCGGAUUUACUGGGUUUAAAGGGUGCGUAGGCGGACUUGUAAGUCCGAGGUGAAAUCUCUGAGCUUAACU